GAAUUUUAGGUCCACACCAUAUCACAUGGGAGACAACCCUGUAGGGGAUAAACACAAAUAGCUGCUCAAAACCAGGGGGAAACUCUGAUUGGGGACCAGUCUGAUGGCGACUUGCAGCGAAACAAAGUUCUGCCGACGCCAUGCAAACCACUACAAUGAUAUGCCUACAACUCAAGGGAGGUCAAUCACAAACUUAGCGGGAGAAGAUGAACAACUCGGCUGCGGACAUCAACAAAUAUCGGGUGCUAACAUACUGUCGGGGAUGAAACAUGGAUCAC
rnacentral:lncRNA from 1 species